CGCGGGGUGGAGCAGCUCGGUAGCUCGCUGGGCUCAUAACCAGAGGUCGCAGGUUCAAAUCCUGUCCCCGCUACCA
rnacentral:tRNA from 1 species